rnacentral:misc_RNA from 1 species
GAGGCGAUGGAGAUGGAAGUGGAGCACCCAAUUCCAAAUUCGAUCAAGCGGUUCGGACUCAAAAACUCUAUCCAGACCAACUUCGGCGACGACUACGUUUUCCAAAUUGUCCCCAAGGAUGAUUGGACUUCAAUGGCGGUUUCGCUUUCCACGAACUCGGUGAAGCUUUACUCUCCAAUGACCGGUCAGUACCAAGGAGAGUGCAAAGGUCACUCUGAUACUAUCAAUCAAAUUGCUUUCUCUGUUUCGUCCGCCCCGCAUGUCUUGCACUCUUGCUCUUCUGAUGGCACCAUUAGAGCUUGGGACACCAGAAUCUUCCGCCAGGUGUCUUGUAUGAGUGCCGG